rnacentral:lncRNA from 1 species
ACUAAUGUUUCCUUGGCCUUACUCAGCUGUUUCAACUUCCUAAUCUAUACUUCGGAGUGCUGUUAUAACUAUAGACGAAAGUGCCUUUAUUUGUUUUUAAAUAUCGAGCACAUUCUCUAGGUUGAACUAUUUAUGUACUUACACCUGCAAGGAGCACCAGUGUGGGGUGUAUUUCAGGCCUGGCCCUGGCUGGAGAGGAGCCGGACUGUGGAUGGAUUGCUGUCGGUUACAUUGUUUAUCAGAAUGCUCAUGAUUUAUUAAUUCAUAACAAUGAUAUGCUUUAUAACUUCCUAACAAUGGAGUUUUACUUCUUAAGCAAGUUUUGGGCAUUAAAAUUUUAAUAAAUUUGUUCAUCUUAAGCUUGGUGUUUAGUUUAAUAUGUAUUGUACCUUUGAUAGAAUUUAAUGAGCCUAAGAAAGCAAUGUAUAUUUUUGAAUAAUUAAUGAAGGCCUUAUCAGAUUAAAAGAAAUGGUAAUUUAUGUGUAAUCACUUUUCUGGAUUUGGUGUCUUUAUUUAGCAUAAAUGAGUAUCAGUUUGGAGAUUUUGGAACACACAGUACUUUUCCCUUUGAAAGCAGUAAAGGUGAUGUUUUUAGUUAGACAUGAGAUGGCUGUGUGUUUUUCUCCUUGGAGUAUUCUCCCCUGCUUGUUCUACAUUUCUUUUCUUUUCUUUUCUUUCUUUCUUUCUUUCUUUCUUUCUUUCUUUCUUUCUUUCUUUCUUUCUUUCUUUCUUUCUUUCUUUCUUUCUUUCUUUCUUUUUUUUUUUGGUUUUUUCGAGACAGGGUUUCUCUGUAUAGCCCUGGCUGUCCUGGAACUCACUCUGUAGACCAGGCUGGCCUCGAACUCAGAAAUCCACCUGCCUCUGCCUCCUGGGUGCUGGGAUUAAAGGCGUGUGCCACCAUGCUCGGCUCUUGUUCUACAUUUCUUAUUCUUUGGGGCUCAACUAAAAUACAAAGCAGAAGUUCUGAGCAGAAGUCUUAGCAUAAUAAUCUAUCUCCCUUGAGACUUUGGUUAAUUUAGGUUACUUUAGUUACUACAUGAGUGUAUUGUUGUUCGCCUCUUCCAAUUAUAAAUAGCUACCACAGCAUAGAGAGGGUUGUGGUGCUGUCCUGUGCCUGUGUGUAGUGACGAGCAGUGUUGACAUCGUCUGCUUCAGUGUUCACUAACUCGCAUGAGUAUCUGAAAGAAAUAAAGAGCUAAGCAUCCCUGUGCUAGUUUUCCCAUCAGAACUCUGCUCAGGGAUAGGGCUACGGUUACCCCCAAUGAUAGUUGUAAUUCCACGUGCUCUUAUGCAUUUUGAGGUUAAGUUUCCCUAAUUCUGUGAUAAGGGUUACUUCUUAGAUGAAGAAACUGAGGUGCUUGUGAGUUUGGGGGACAAAGACUAGGAAGCGGGAGAAGCUCUUUAUUUGGUUUGCAGCUCAGCUCUUUCUAUGCACGGGAGAGAGCGGUGUUAGACACUUACUUUGUAUGUGUGCUACACUAGUCUUUCCUAUAAUCAUUUGUGCACAUCUGAGUGUGCUCCAGUGUGCUCUAAUGCACUCUUCACCCUCAGAAAGCAGAACGCAAGGUGGCACUUUCUCUUUUGCCCUUAGCUUAGCAGAGGUGAACGCAUUAAUCAGGUAAUUGAAACUUGGGGUUUGUCUCACUUUGAAGUUUUCAGUAAUUCUUUGAGCAAGUAUUUACUGAAUGUCUCCAGUUUGCUUGAAUCUAUGGUUGUGAAACACUGGAGGAAAUAACUGAGUACGACCUGGACAGACACGGUAUAAUCUCUGUAAAAAAAAUACACACACACACACACACACACACACACACACACAAACAUACACACAUACAACUUUAUAUAUACAAGAGUAUGUAAUGUGUGUUCUAAUAUCUUCAAAUUGAUAGUCAUUUAUAUUAAAUAAAACCACUAAAUAUAAAUAUAUAUAUUCCUAAAUAUAAAAUCAAUCUGCUCAGUCCAUGUAUGUAUGUAUGUAUGUAUGUAUGUAUGUAUGUAUGUAUGUGUAUAUAUAUGUAUGUUACAACAAUUUAAGAGGCCAUGAAUUUGAGACUGGAGUGGGGGUACAUGACUGUGGUUGGAAGGAGGAAAGGGAAAAGAGAAAAAUUAUGUAGUUAUAUUUUAAUUUUGAAAAAUAAAGAGUUGUAUUCCAAAAUUUGAGGGGUAUUAAAAGCUUUUAUAAUUAAAAAACACACC